AUGCCCUUGAAUCCUCCACACGCCACUGCGUUGGAAGACAAAUGGCAGGGGGUUGAGCGGGUGGAGGGAACCGUGCGGGUCCCGCGUGGGUCCCGGAUGAGAGCCUGCGGAAACCCUGGGAAGCCCAGGCCCGGGUCGCCAUUCAGGCGUGCUGCCUCCCCUCCCCCAGCCCCCCAGAAGCGCAUUGUUACUCCGGAUGGCGUCUUCAUUCAGGGCCAGAGUCCCAGCGCCGCCCCUGUCGGGGGCUCCCCGGAUCAGGCACGACUCGGGCCGCGCUCCGGCUCCGGGUGUGGAUUUGAGGACGACCCAGAGCCCAGGAGGGGAAAUCGCUCGCUGGGAAAACGGGCGCCCCAGGAAGCUAGGGCCGCCACGGCCUCGGGCCUGCGUGGUGUUUCGCUUCCCCUCCGCCCCUCCUGGGCGGCCCCCGGCAACCAAAGCUCCAAAGUCACCCCCGCGUCCUGCCACCCCCUCGCCCCCGCCGCAUUUGGCGACGCCGCCUUGCGCCCGGCCCUCGCGUCCUCCUCUGGGUCUCCUGUCUCCCAGGCGCCGGCCCAACGACCUGGCCGGUGGUGCGCCGCCGUCCGUCCAGGGACUCGCGUGGCCGGAGCCCCCACCGUGACGUCACCCCGAAAGGCCCCUGCGCCCCAGGCCUGGCCGAGACGGAGCUCCCCGGCCUCCCGGGCCGCUUCCUGCCCGGUGGCGCGGCCUGCGCACAGGCCCGGGCGCCCCUGCCCGCGUCGGAGCACGGAUCGGGGCUCCGCCGAGGGCCUCACACGCCGCCCCUCCCCAUCACGGCCCUCGCUGCCCCGGCUCCCACGCCAGGGCCCCGAUAGGCCCAGAGGCCCCCAGAGAAGUCGGCUCCCCGCCCCCCACCCGGACGCCCUCACAAAGCUCGCCUCCGGUCCCGGCGCGUCGCGAAUGCCCCGGUCCCUACCCUCCGCUCGGGGUACCCCCGGGGACAAGCACGCGCACAGUCCUCGCGCCCCCGCCUCGCACCAGCCCCGGCCCUCGUCCCACGGCGCGGGGCGCCCCCACCCCGCCGCAGCUCCUCCGACUGCCAUCCGGUGA
rnacentral:lncRNA from 1 species